rnacentral:lncRNA from 1 species
UGAUACAGACACAAAAGCAUAAACGGCACAUUAUAAGUCUUACAACAGUUAUAUGCAACUAUUGGCCUAUAAAAAAAUAACUUGAUGAUUCAUCCAUCUUAUGCUCUCGCGUCACUACCUGUAAUACAAAUAAAACUUAGUGGAUCAGGCUUGAGAGUUUGGUGAGCAUAUAGGGUUUUCAACCCACAAUAAAUAAUAAUAUUUAAUUUCACCAACCAACAAUAACCCGGUUACCCAUUCCCAUUAUCCUCACUUUACGUCCCUAAAACAACAACUAUCACAAGGGACCUAAUAUAGGAUUUUUCAUCGGGAUAGACAUUACUGCAAAGGGGUUUCCUCAACAAUAAAUGUCCUAAAGGAAAUCAUGAGGGGGAUAGAGUAAACCGGUGAACACAUCGUUCACAACACCUACAGGUUAUGACCCUGCCAGCGUUCCACUAGACAGUCUAAAAAGAGUCUGUGGUCGUCAUCCAUACUCCGCUAGAUGACUAGAUUAACAACAUCAACAUCGAGGCCUCUCAUCAUUUUAUUUCAUCACACAACAACCGUCUACNGAUUAAUGUCUAAGUCCAUAACUAUAAUUGGUAAGACUUGACCCGACCCGACAUGGUCCAUUUGGGUUGCAUGGCAUCAUGCACUUGGAUAGACUAUAAUGAGAGAAAUAACACUUAAGGUUGAUUAAUAUAUUAUAAGUUCUAAUAUAUUAAUAGCAUUAUUUAAUUAGUAUUGAUCAAGAAUUAAUCUAUAAUUAAUUAAGUGAUCAAAAGAAGACUAAUUAAAUAUAUGGGUUGAUUGUGUAAAUCAUCCAUACUUGUAUAGUGGGCUAAGACUCCAUGGAUUAUCAAGUUGGGCUAAAACCCAUAGGAUGCUCCAUGGUGUAUUUGAACCCAUGGAUCCAAGGAAAUGGAAAGCCAUGACAAUUAGGGUUUACCUUAAUUGUGACACUAUAUAAAGACCAUAUUCUUGGGGAAAAAUCGGCCACUAUGAGUGAUAAAAAGGGCUAGCCGAUUUUCAUGAAGUGUGGAUUUCUCUCUAAUCUAUUCCAUAUGCAUUUGGUGCUGUGUGAACCAUUUGAGGUGUCACACUUGGGGCACUAGGCUCUCAAGCAUCAUGGAGUCAUUCUACAUCAAAGAGGUAUGUAUUCUAACUUGUUAUAUUUCAUGUGAAUCAAAGUUUUGUAUGCUAGUUAAUAUAAUACCUUGGAUAAUCAUAUUUGCAUGUAUAAUAGAGAAAACAUAGAUCCAAGGUAUUUAGGGUUUCAUGUACACUUAGGAGUGUUAGAAUGUUCAAAACCCAACAGUGGUAUCAGAGAUUAGGCUUGUUUUCUUGUUUUUUUGUUAUACUUGCAAAAUUGGCUGAAAAUUCGAAUUUUUGUGCUGUCUGCUCAGUAGACUCGUCGAGUCCAUGGAGGGACUUGACGAGUCCAAGGCAAAAUGCAUCCAACUCGCCGAGUUGGUUCAUGCACUCGACGAGUUGGACCCCCAAAGAGCAUAUAUUCGACUGUUUUGGCUGGAAUUGGACUAGGAACAUUACCCUAAGCUGUUUUUGAACUUAUAAACUUGUUUUUUGAUGUGGUAAUGUUCAUGCUAAUCCAAUUUCAAAGAUAAUUGUCAAUAGAUUCAUGUUUUGUGUUACUUUAAAAGUUAUGCUAGUUAGAUGAAACAGUUUGAUGUGAAUUAUCUUUGUUCAUAUGAGUUGCUUAGAUUAAUAGAAAAAGUUAAUUGAUAGUCAAUCCAGUAUAGAUCUAUACGCAAACUCAUAUGCUCCCCAAUUAAGGAGAUUCUGGAUACAAAAACGGUCAUGGCAGGUAGUGCCAUGCCCCGUUUAGUGGCUCACAUAACUGCAUGAAUGUAUAUGUAAUGUAUAUGCUAGUUGUAUUGUGUGUUCUUUCUCUGUCUAGCCUGUAUGUAUUGUAAUGUUCUUCGUGUACUAGCUGUAUUGUGUUUUCUCUCUCUAUCUAGCAAGUAUUAAAAUGUACUGUGUGUACUAGUUGUAUUGUGUGUUCUCUCUAUGUAGCAAGUAUUGACUCAUUGUAUGAUUCAUUGUUCUAGUAAUAGUAUUAGUAACUUCCUAAACUACGCCUAUCGUAGUUUACUAGUAAUAUGACUUGUACGUAUGAUCAUGAAUGUAUACCCUUGCUACCCAAGGGUAUUGAAUUGGCUGAUAGAACUUUUAUGUUUAUAUAUGUAUACAUAAUAUAUAACUAAUAUUUAGACGACCUUCGGACGGAUAACCGAUGCCCUAAAGCCACAUCCAAACAAGGAAAAGGAGAUAAAGCGAGCUAGCCUUCCUAAGUCCUUUAAACAUGACUUAUAUAACUAUACAUCCAUAGGCAUGCAUUUGACAAUAUAAAAGUAUAAAAAGAGUUUAAGUGAAAGUAUUUGACAAGCAAAAGAGUUUGUAAAAUAGUUUGAAGCAAAACAGUUUGAUAAUAUAGUUUGAAAAGUAAGAAAACCACUUGUUUGGUAGUUAUUAAUCACUUGUGAUUGAUAUAAUAACUAUAAUUGUUCAACUUGUAUCCCCCCAUAAAAGUAUUUAAAAACAUUUAAAAGGUUAAAUAAGGGGUAUGAACUCACAUGUAGUGAGUGGUAUGGAUGAACUNUAAAAGGUUGUUUAAGGGGUAUGAACUCACCUGUAGUGAGUGGUAUGGAUGAACUGAAGAAACAGGAUUGCUAGGUGUCAAGUGAAGACUUGAGCACACUCAAAGAUCCUAGUUAACAUAUCAUAACACAUAUAUGUAUCCAAUUAGUCUUUAAACAACUAAUCAACAAAGUUUAGACAUCCUAGGACAUGUUAAACACCUUAUAUAAGUGUUAUAAGUCCCAUGUAUUGCAUCUAAGUUGUAGGACAUUGCUAUUGGGUUUAGGGUUCAAGGGAACCCCCUUAUAUGAGUUUACGGUUUUGUGAACAUCACUCAUUGAGUUUAUGGUCGUAAACUCAUGAGUUUACGGUCGUAAACUCAUGCUUGUUUGACCAUGUUUUGUUUUGAUGCCCUACAAGUCCUUAGAAGCAUUUCCACUUGAAGUAUAAGCAUAUGGAAGGGAUUAGGGCACCAUUUCACUCCUAAAUGGAGUUUACGGCCCUUAGACCAUUUUCCCUUGGGUUUACGGUCGUAAACCCCUAUGGUUAAUGGUCUUUUGAUGUUUUCAAGUGCUAAGCUCAUUAAGGAAAGUAUCUAANAUCUAUGCUAGUUUCCAAGGCUUAGAAGGGACUAGGGCACACUUUGGCACCCUUUUUAGGGUUUACGGUUCAAGAACAUCUUGAACCGUAAACACCUUUGAUCCUUAGUUUCUUGGGUGUUUUCUUGAUGUUUAGAAGUGUAACAAGCCUUAAGAUACUCUAGGGUAGAAGUACUUAGAAGAUAGAGGCUUCAAAAGGUGCUAAAAGUCCAAGAACACUAGUGUGUGUUCUUGGUGAAACUUGAAGAUCCAACCUUUUGGAAUGAUUUCACGGAUGGAAGUGUGUUAGAUCACUAGAUUAAGUAAUAUAUCAACUUAAUAAGGCUAGAAACACUUACAAGUUGAAGAUCAAGGAGGAAAAGUCGGAUGCUACUUGAGAGGAUUUGAGUUCUAGCUUUGAAAUGGUGAAAAAGUGUGAAAAAUGGCUAAGUGCCAUAUAUAUAGUCACUAGGGUUUACGGUCCAAUUACCAUUUGGGUCAUAAACUCUAAACUCUUGGAGUUUUUGGAACUCUAUUGUUACACAAUAAACCCUAGGGCAUCCUCUCUCCUGGUAUCUCCCGAAGUACUAACUUGAAAUGACUCAAACUUAUUCCAAAAAGCUUGAAAGUUAGCAGAAACUAUUCUGACUUCUAUUGAGUUGAAAUGUAGUACAUAAUAGAAAUUUCGGGUUGUCACAGAAGUCAUACGCAAUAAUAGUUUUAGACUUAUCCAAGUGGGAGAUUGUUGGAUUAGUGUCUAAGUCCAUAACUAUAAUUGGUAUGUACUUGACCUGACUUGGCAUGGUCCAUUUGGGUUACAUGGCAUCAUGCAUUUGGAUAGACUAAAAUGAGAGAAAUAACACUUAAGGUUUAAUUAAUAUAUUAUAAGUUCUAAUAUAUUAAUAAGAUUAUUUAAUUAGUAUUGAUCAAGAAUUAAUCUAUAAUUAAUUAAGUGAUCAAAAGAAGACUAAUUAAAUAUAUGGGUUGAUUGUGUAAAUCAUCUAUACUUGUAUAGUGGGCUAAGACUCCAUGGAUUAUCAAGUUUGGCUAAAACCCAUAGGAUGCUCCAUGGUGUAUUUGAACCCAUGGAUCCAAGGAAAUGGAAAGCCGUGACAAUUAGGGUUUACCUUAAUUGUGACACUAUAUAAAGAUCAUAUUCUUGGGGGAAAAUCGGCCACUAUGAGUGAUAAAAAGGGCUAGCCGAUUUUCAUGAAGUGUGGAUUUCUCUCUAAUCUAUUCCAUGUGCAUUUGGUGUUUUUCCCCAGCCUCAAGCCAACAAGACGGCAUACGGUAUUUUUGUAUGUAUAUAGCUUGAUAAGGUUUCAUCUUAAUGCUCGAGUGGAAGCUAUUAUUGUAUGAGAAUUCUACCAAAGGUAAAUUUUCAUCCCAGUUACCUUAGAAUUCCAGGGUACAUGCUCUCAACAUAUCUUCAAGCGUUUGUAUCGUUCGUUCGCUCUGACCAUCAGUCUGUGGAUGGUAAGUUGUACUUAAACACAAAUUGGUACCCAAUUCCUCUUGUAGACUUCUCCAAAACCGUGAGGUGAAACAGAUGUCACGAUCUGACACAAUCGCUAACGGAACACCAUGAAGCCUCACAAAUUCCUUCACGUAAGAAUUUGCAAGCUUAUCCAUAGACCAUUUCUCAUUGGUUGCUAUGAAGUGCGCACUCUUAGUGAAGCGAUCAACGACCACCCAAAUCAUGUCGUGAUCAUUCUUUGUUCUGGGUAGUUUAGUGACAAAAUCCAUAGCAAUGUCUUCUCAUUUACCCAUAGGCACAUGUAAAGGUUCUAAACUCCCGUAUGAUUUCUAAUGUUGUGCCUUAACUCUCGCAUAUGUCACACACUUGGCCACAUACUUUGCAAUAUCGAGCUUCAUCGUCGGCCACCAGCAAUAGGGUUUUAGGUCCCUAUACAUUUUAGUGCUACCGGGAUGAAUCAAGUACAUGGUUUUGUGAGCUUUUCCAUUAGAAGAUCUCUUAUACCUCCUGACUUAGGCACCCAAAUUCGAUCUUGUAAUACCUUCAGUCCAUGACCAUUUGUACCAAACACUAACGUUUUCCCCAAACGUUCCUCCUUCCGGUCAUUCUUUUCAGAACCUUCCUCUUGAGCUUUCUUUAUACUUUCCACAGUGGUCGAGACAACUUCUAUUCUCAACGCUCUUGGCCUUUUUCUUUCAAGAUUGACUUUCCGACUGAGAGCAUCAACGACAACAUUUGCUUUACCAGGGUGGUAAAGUAUCUCAUAGUACUAGUCCUUAAGUAAUUAUAGCCAGCGUCGUUGCUUCAUAUUCAAUUCUUUCUGACUAAAGAGAUAUUGGAGACUCUUAUGAUCAGUGAAAAGUUUGCACUUCGAGCCAUAGAGGUAAUGCCUCCAUAUCUUUAGAGCAAAUACUACCGUUGCCAACUCCAAAUCAUGAGUGGGGUAGUUCUUUUCAUGCUCUUUCGGCUUUCGAGAUGCAUAUGCUAUCACAUUUUCUCUUUGGGUCAAAACACAACCCAACCCAACACCAGGCGCAUCGCUAUAGAUAACGAAGUCUUCAACUCCAUCGGGUAGAGAAAGAAUUGGUGCCUCACAUAGCUUCUUCUUUAGCAUCUCGAAUGCUUCUUUAUGCUUAUCACUCCAAGCAUAAGUACUUUAUGGGUUAAAGCUGUCAAUGUAUUAACAAUUGAAGAAAAGCCUUGGAUACACCUUCGGUAAUAUCCAACUAAUCCUAAAAAGCUUCGGAUCUUCAUGGGACUUUUUGGUUGUUCCCAUUUAAUCACAGCUUCAAUCUUUGCUGGAUCAACCAUUAUCCCUUCUUGGUUUACCACAUAACCCAAAAAUUGGACUUCUCGAAUCCAAAAAUCACAUUUGGAGAACUUAGCAUACAACUUUUCUUUCUUCAAGACUUCCAACGAAUCCAAAAAUCACAUUUGGAGAACUUAGCAUACAACUUCUCUUUCUUCAAGACUUCCAACACUUCUCGCAAGUGUCUGCCAUGCUACUCUUGGCUUUUCGAGUAAAUCAAAAUGUCAUCUAUGAACGCUAUCACAGAUUUAUCAAGGAACGGAUUACAAACUCUGUUCAUUAAAUCCAUGAAUGCUGCUGGAGCAUUGGUUAGUCCAAACGACCUAACUAAAAAAUCGUAGUGUCCAUAUCGUGUUCUGAAUGCAGUCUUCUCGAUAUCCUGUUCUCUUACUUUCAGCUGAUGAUAUCCUGACCUUAGGUCGAUAUUUGAAAAAUAACUUGAACCUUGUAGCUGAUCGAACAGGUCAUCAAUCCUCGGCAACGGAUAUCUAUUCUUUAUUGUUGCCUUGUUCAGCUCUCUGUAAUCGAUGCACAUUCUCAUAAUCCUGUCCUUUUUCUUUACGAAUAAUACCGGAGCUCCCUAGGGUGAUGAACUAGGUUUAAUGAAACUUUUGUCCAAUAACUCCUGAAGUUGCAUCAUCAACUCCUUCAUCUCCGUUGGUGCUAAUCGGUAAGGUGUUUUUGCUAUUGGCGUCGUACCUGGUAACAAGUCGAUACGGAAUUCUACUUGUCGAUCAGGCGGUAAUCCUGGAAGAUCUUCGGGAAAUACUUUUGGAUACUCACACACCACAGGAAUGCUCUGCAUCACCCUUUUCUCUUUCUUUGCAUCAAUCAUGAAUGUCAAAUAUGAUGUAGAUCCUUUGGCCAAACACCUUAUGGAUUUCAUUAGAGAAAUAAUCCCUGAAUUUACUUUGCGUUUGUCCACAUACACCAUAAAUGAGUCUUUCCCUAGUGGGUUUACUUUUACAAUCUUCUUCUUGUAUAGUAUUUCGGCAUCAUUAGCGCUAAGUCAAUCCAUUCCCAGCACGAUGUCGAAACCAUUUAACUCGAUAGACAAUAAUUCCUCGUGGAACUUAUUCCCAUUCAAAUCAAUUAAGAUGUUUUUCAUACGAUGGCUAACAGGUAUAAACUUGCCACUAGCAACUUCGACUAAUAAAGCAUUAUCUAGUCUAUCGACAGGCAAAACUAGUUUUCUACCAAAUUCAUGCGAAAUAAAUGAGUAGUUGGCUCCAAAAUCAAAUAAAAUUUGGGCAGUCAAUUCGUUUACGAGAAAGGUACCUGAAGCGACAUCAGCUUCUUCUUUAGCAGCUUCCAGUGUCAUCUGGAAGGCUCUCGCCUUCAGCUUUGGCUAAAUAUUGGGUCUUGCUGCCUCUUUCUUUUUCGGACAAUCCCUUAAGAUGUGCCCCUCCUCACCACAACCAUAGCAGACUUUCUUGGUAAUGGUGCAUUCGUUGGCAUAGUGCCCUGACUUCCCAUAUUUGAAGCACGUGGCUUCUCCGCCACAUUUCCCAAGAUGCUUCUUCUUGCAUUUGUCGCACCAUUUCGCUUCGCCUCCUCCACCUCCUCUCAAACUAGACUUCGAGAAUUUAAUUUACUUAUUAGACCCUGAAGGUCCGUCGAACUUCCUCUUCUCACCAACCUCUUACCUCUCCAGACCCUUCUCCCUGAUCUGGGUCUCAGCAUUUCUAGCAUCCCAGAUGGCGGCUUUCAAUGUGGUUACUUGCUUAACCAUUGGACCAAAGUCCGCUGGUAGUCCGAGGGAAAACUUAUUGACCUUUGAGAGUUCUGUUGGUACUAGGUAUGGGAUAAGCUUCAUCUUUUCUGUGAAACUUGCAGCGUAUUCGGUAACGCUCAUUUUUCCCUUCUUCAAAUUCUGAAACUCAUUAUUGAUUUCCAGAAGGUCCUGCUCUGAGCAGUAUUGCAAUUUCAGUUGUUCCACAAAGUCUUCCCAAGACAUCUUGCUAGCUUCUCCCUUGGGAAUCGAGUCAGCUAACAGCUUCCACCAACUCAACACUCUAGAUUUUAACAGAGGGAUCGCAAGAGUGGUCUUCUGUCUAUUGCUGCAUUCGCAACUUUCAAACAUUGUCUCCAUUUCGGAGAUCCCGUUUAUAACUUCUACCGGCGUCGGGCUUCCGGAUAGACAUGGUGGCUUGGAUGCCAUGAAAUCCUUGUACUUACACCCAUGCCCAUCAUUUCAUCCAUCCUGUUUGUUGUGUCUAACCACCGGUGGGUUGGCUUGGCCAAUAGUCCUACUGAAGUUUCCUCCUUCCGACUGCCCUUCACUUAAUUCAGGCUGAACAAUCGGCAUCGAAGGUUCUUCACGAUUCUGCUGCAGCGGACAUCUCUUUUCUUCCAUCUGACGAUCCAACAUCGUCUGAAUCAUCAAUUGUACACCAGCCAUUGUCAUUGGCUCAGGUGUUGCUGCUACAACAGGUAUUUGCUCAAUCACUGGUGGUUGAGGCCGUUGAUUCAUGUUUUCGUCUGCGUUUCCAACGCCACUUUUUGUUCUUGCCAUCUUUGAUCUAUACACCAAACAAGGUGAAUUUAGAUCCUCAAUUACGAUAGAAAAUCAAAUCAUCCUUAUCACUCCGAAACCUUUACAUGCUAGUUCUAAUACCGUCGUCAUACGCUUAGACCCCUAAACACAUAAGGUUUCCAGAUCCAGUCGGCAACAAACCAUACAUCCGAACAAAGAAUAUCAUAUAUGGCAAACAUAUAACAUUUAGCACAUAAAAGCAUUUUAAGCAACUUUCCUAAAAUAAACUAGUGCUCGUGUCUAAAAUACGACACACACUCAUCUCACAAUCUUCACUUAGCAUUAUAAGUUUAAGUCUAGAAAUCCUACAAAUUCCUAGUUCGCUUAAACUAAUGCUCUGAUACAAACUGUAGCAUCCCCAAAAUUACGGCCAAAAAAAGACCGAUUUAAUUUAUGCUUUUAAAAUAAUUUCAAAGUAAAUCCUUUGAUUAAAAAGGGUUGUGGAAUUUGCUCCCAAAACAAAAUAUGAUAAGAUAAAAUUUAUCAAAGCAUUUCUUAAAAAAUGUAUUUUCAUAUGUAACAAAACUCGGGAUGUCAUGUUCCAAUACAAACACAAAAGCAUAAACGGCACAUUAUAAGCCUUACAACAGUUAUAUGCAACUACUGGCAUAUAAACAAAAUAACUUGAUGAUUCAUCCAUCUUAUGCUCUCGCGCCACUACCUGUAAUACAAAUAAAACUGAGUGGGUCAGGCUUGAGAGCCUAGUGAGCAUAUAGGGUUUUCAAUCCACAAUAAAUAAUUAUAUUUAAUUUCACCAACCAACAAUAACCUGAUUAUCCAUUCCCAUUAUUCUCACUUUACAUCCCUAAAACAACAACUAUCAUAAGGGACCUAAUCUAGGAUUUUUCAUCGGGAUGGACAUUACUACAAAGGGGUUUCCGCAACAAUAGAUGUCCUAAAGGCAACCAUGAGGGGGAUAGAGUACACCGGUGAACACAUCGUUCACAACACCUACAAGUUAUGAACCUGCCAGCGUUCCACUUGACAAUCUAGAAAGAGUCUGUGGUCGUCAUCCAUACUCCGAUAGAUUACUAGACUAACAACAUCAACAUAGAGGCCUCUCAUCAUAUUAUUUCAUCACACAACAACUGUCUACCCAUGUUCUACCUAACAUAUUAGUGGAUAAAAAUAUAUACAUUUAUAUACAGCUUAAAACAUGUACAAAUCAUUCAUUCAACAAUUAUUUCAAAUAAGCAAAUAAUAUACAAACACAUAACAUGUAUUUUGUAGAGAAUACUUCGUAUCUAUUUGUUAGAAGAAAAGGAAUAUACACUCACUUGAUCGGAAGAUGAUUGAACAACACUACGACUCUAAAUGUAGUAUUCUUCGGUGAAACUGGAAGAUCUUCACACACCAUGCUUCUCGCAAGCAGAGCUUCGGCUAGGAAACUCUUUUCUUCUCGGGAUCUUCGGGCUUCGGGACUCGCUUCGGGUCUCGGGAUGAUACCGGGGCUUCGGGAGUAUAACUUGCAAGUAAAUCGAGGUAAUACAGAGUGAGUGAGAGAGGGAGAGAGAGAAAGAGAGAGAAAGGAACAACCAAACCCGGCCGCCCCUUUGAUUUCUAUUUAUAGGGAAAAAAUCCAAAAUUCACGUCAUGAGUUUCAAGUGCUCACGUCAUCAGCUCGAUUAUCAUCCGGUGCGUCACUGCAACUUGCCUGCUCACGUCGUGAGGACCCUGCUCACGUCGUGAGUUCUGACAGACCUCGAAGUUUGUGUUUCAAACUUCAGAAAUUCAAAUCUUUCGCAUACGAGCUCCGUUUUCGACGUUCUUUAUAUCCACGCGUAGGUGAGACUAAUCUCUACAACUUUCAUUUAGACCCGUCGGCUGAUUUUGACUUUAUUUUUAAAGUUAUAUUUUUAAUAGUCCGAGACAGGAAAUGUCCGUUAAAAAUUCAUAAUUCCUUCAUCCGACGUCCGUUUUUGUCUAUCUUUUCACCGUUGGACUACUAUCAACGAGAUCUUCGAUUGUCGUUUAGAUUGUUUCGGCUAGAAACCACUCGAUCUCAUAUUCGAACUUUGGGUUGCAUACCGCUAAGUCGAAACUUCGAAAAAUCAUAACUUACUCAUAUGAAGUCAGAUUUAGACGUUCUUCUUAUGCAUGCUCUCGGUUUAACUUAUUGUACAACUUUCGUUUAGAUCACUAAGGCUAGAUUUCGUUCUAUCUUAAAUUCAUAUUUUACGUCAUUUAGCGUCGUACCGGUUAUGUCGCGAAACUUCGACAGGUCAUAACUUCUUCGUUAUAACUCGGAUUUCAGCAUUCUUUAUAUAUUCGAAAACCUCAUCACGACCACUACCACAUCCUUCAUAGAUAUCAGGUUUAUCUAACAUUUCAUUUUGAUGCUUAUUUUUAUCCUUAAUUCAUUUAAGUCACACAAUUAAGUACAAAACACAUAAUACUCAAAUAAUACAUCUUUAUUAUUUCAAGACGGGUUACAAAGGUUAACCUAGACUAUUACAUCAUCAUUAAUGCCUAGCCUAGAAACACAGGCGUUACAGAAUGGCAUAACUAGAAACUUGUAGUGAUUGUACAUACCGAGUUCUGAAUGUCAUCUUUGGAAUAUCUGUUUCUUGGACUCUGAGUUGAUGAUAGUCGGAUCUUAGAUCGAUCUUUGAGUAGUAACGGGAUCCUUGUAAUUGGUCGAAUAGGUCAUCGAUCCUCGGGAGUGGAUAUCGGUUCUUGAUGGUGAUUUUGUUUAACUCUCGAUAGUCGAUGCAUAUCCUGAACGAUCCAUCCACCUAUUUUGCAACAAUAUUGUAGCUCCUCAUGGAGAGAAGCUUUGCCGGAUAAAACUUUUGUCAAGAAUUUAUUGGAGUUCACUAGGUAGUUCUUGCAUUUCUGAUAGAGCCAGGCGAUAAGGAGAUCUUGCCACUGGUGUUGUACCCAGGAUCAUGUCGGUUUGGAGUUCGACCUAUCUAACUAGAGGUACUCUAGGAAUUACAUUCGGGUAACCGCACACUACAAAAUGUCUUUGAUUUCCUUAUCCUUGUCUUGCAUAUCCACCACGUGGGCCAAGAAAGCGAAGCGUCUCUUCUGCAUACACCUUCUUGCCUUCAUGAAAGAGAUGGUUCUUAGAUUCUUUCCUGAUUUGCCUCUGUAGUUCACAAGGGCUUCAUUGUUGGGUAAUGGUAUUCAGACGACUUUUUUGUGAUGUAAAAUAUGUGUUUGAUGAAGUGAUAACCAAUCUAUUCCAAUGAUCACAUCGAGACUUCCAAUGGUCAUAGGUAUUAGGUUGACAUGAAAUACGUAGUUAUCCAUGGCCUUUCUACAAAACUUAGAGGCGUGACCUCUUAAGUUAUAGAUGUUGCAAACCAUGCAAUUUCUGACACGGUGAAAAUUGCCCUUGGUAAAGUGGGGUAAAGUCCUAGAGUAGCGCUUUGAUUGAGUAGGAUCGUUUAUGAUUAUAGGGUACAAAACCAUAGGUUUUGGAUUGGGUUUGUGGUGAUUGAAGUUCCCUUUUGACUUGCCAUGGAACUUCCUUUUUUCAUUCCCAAUCUAGUUCUUUUCGGUUUGUGAGGUUAUGGCACCCUAACGGAUACACUACUCAGUCAAUUGAUAGGCAAACUGCUUGGCAUUAUCAAAGAUAGUGGGUCUGGAUGCAGUAACCAGACCUUCAACUAGUGGAGUUAAUCCCCAGAUGUACCCUUCGGUAUUUUUGUAUUUUAGGUUCACCAUUCCUGGGCAAAGGUUUGUGAGGUCGUUAAAUCGAGAGGUGUAAGCAGUCCUCUCCAAUCCUUUCGUGGUAAAGUUCCAAAUUAUAUAUAGUGAUUGAUUCUAGAAAUCCUAUAGAUUUCCAAAUUACAGAGAGAUAAUUGAAAUCCUACCGAUUCCAAAUGAUANNNNNNNNNNNNNNNNNNNNNNNNNNNNNNNNNNNNNNNNNNNNNNNNNNNNNNNNNNNNNNNNNUAUAUAUAUAUAUAGAGAGAGAGAGAGAGAGAGAGACAGAGAGAGAGAGAGAGAGAGAAAAGUUUGGAGACUACUGAAUGAUUGAUUGGGAAUUAUGGGUUUCUCCGCUAUGACGGUAGCAGAGCUAUUCAUUAUUUGUUCUUCUUUGGAUUUGGAAAAACUUGGAAAAUCUGAAUGACAUCCCCUAUUUUUAAGUAUUUUUAAAAUGUAUAUGUUGUUUUGGGGUUGAUAUAAGGUUUCUAAGGUACUAAGUUUCUGCAGCGAAUCUUGAGAACAUCCUUCAAUCUCUAAAACUUUCAACCAUUGUAGUCUGUGAAACUCCUUGCUCCAGGUUGGUUGUUCGCCGACCCGACCAUAAAUAACAUAGGUGUACGUUCCAGGUUUAUUUAUGGUAUGACUUAUGUACGAUACUAACUUUAAUUAAGGCGUUUGACCUAAAGGGUUGAGUUGGUAGCUUUAGUUGGAGGCAUGUUAGAAUUUUAUUAAGUGUUCUCAUUGCAGGUCAGAGUAUAUAUAACUCUUACAUAUUAUUGUUGGUGGGUUUGGAGUAUUAUUAAAUUUUGUUUUGUACUCUAAGACUACCAAUUACAGACGAAGGCCAGAUAUGAAACACCGGAGGGCAAGACCGUUUUAACAAUUAAGCUGUUCUUACAUCCAACAACCAAGCGACAUUUCAAACCAGAAUCCCCUUAUCGUAAGUAGCCAAUAAGUAGUGUACUUGAUAUUAAUAGUACUUUUAUUUAAAAUGUAGUUUCUAUAGUUGUAUUCACCUUUUUGAGGAUACGAGUUCUCUAUAGCCAAUUUAGCUCUGAUACCAAUCUGUCACACCCCCGGCCGAGGCGGCAGAACAUGUCGGGUUGUGCGACUAAGUUCAUAGAUCACAUGCAAAUUGAAUAUAUUGCAAAAGUACAACAAUAAAAAAAUAGCAUUCAUGUUCCAUCUUGAUAUUUAGUACAAUGUUUUUACAAAUAACAAUAAUACAUGAAUUGCCUUAACAGAUAGGCAUAUGAUACAACAAGUAAACUAGGUCACCUGUAAUCAAAUCUGUCUUGAAUGUCUGUUUAAAGAUUUCUUGAGAAUACAUGUAGUUUUGAGGGUCAACAAAAGGUUGACGAGUGUUACAGGUUUUCUGCUACUGCAGUAAUACUUUUAAUAAGUCUAAAAAGUAUUAUCUUUGUAUGUAUAACAAUAGUUAAAACAAUGUUUGCAAUGAGUCUUUAAAAGCCCAAAAUGUAUUUCGGUGUAAGUAAAUCUAUACUUUAAAAUGUGUUUGUAAUAAAUCCUUAAAAUCCAAAAUGUAUCUUUUGUAUAAGUAAAUACAUACUUUAAACUGUGUUCGUAAUAACCUUUGAAUAUUCUUGAAAACCAAACUGUUAUGUUACAUAAGUAAUUUCAUACUUAAAAAUAGUUUUGAAAGCAACUAAGCCCAUGGUUGUUAGUGAGAGAGAGAUAUUCUAGUUAAUGUUUUUAGUGAGUCCUAGAACCGAACUACCUAACUGAAUGUACCCCCUACAACGCUUCAUUGGACGUUGUACUAACAAUGGUAGAUACUUAUCACCCGCUUCGAUUAACCGGUCGAGAGUUGUAGCUAGCAACCACAGGUGGGGAUGUCAACCCCGUAUAGAUCUAUACAUAUGUAUCUCGCUCUGAAGAUUAACGAUUACAAUAUUGUGGGUAUGCUAAGUAUUUAAACUCAGCUAAUGAAUAAUGUCCUACUAAAAAAACCCUUAACUAAAAAAAGUUUAUGAAGAACUCUCGACCCAAACUUAAUUGUGAUUGGGUCAGUAGACAUAAUGAAUAUCGUUGUCUAGAGUUUAUAAAAGCCGAGUAUGUUUGAUAUGUAUGUAAAAGUGUAAUGUACUCGCUUUUAUAAAGAUGUAUGUUUCGAAGUAAUGAAGACAUGUACAUGUAUAAACGUUAUGUAUUUAAACAUAUAAAUAAACAUGCACAAUAAUAGUUUGAAUCCUUGAAAUACUACAAAAUUGACAAUGUCACAUAAAAAUCAUAUAUUUUAUAUCAUGUAGUAUUUUUUUGUGUGAACUAGUUAUUUCACGAUAAAAUAACCAUAAUACGUAUACGGAAAGUUUAUGCUAGUUUAUCUGUAACAAUAUGGUAAAUUGUUAAAUAAUAAUAUUUUUAUAAACUAGAAUUAUUGUAUUUUCGCAUAAAAAGAAAAUUGAUUUGUAUAACCAAAAUAUNAAAAUAUUUAGGUACAUGUGUUCCCCUCCGAAAUAAUUAAAAUAUUAAAAAGGGGUCGAAAGCACUCACUUUUGUAACGUGAACGAGGCUCGCGUUGUGAAACUUUUCAUGAAAGUUGUUACGUGACGUUCCUUGUCUUAAAGCGAACCACCGACUAUAUUUAUAUUUCCUAAUAAACCAAAGGGGUAGUUUUGAUAUUAAUUAUUAAGUAUAUGGUGGUCCUUGUUAAAAUAAAUAGACUCUAGAGUUUGAUUUUGCCAAAAUCAUACUUCAGGGACUAAUAUUGCGAAUUAUUCCCAUAACAGGGGUUAAACAUGUGCAUUUGAAUCUGAUUUGGAGCUCCAGGACUUAUUCUGUUAGGGUUUUCAGAUGGAGGGGUUGUUUCUGGAUAAAUUGAAUCACUUUUUUGGGAUUGGGACCUAUUUGAAUAAAUAAUUUAACAGUGGGGGUAGUUUAGUCAUUUCAUAAUUAAAAAUGCCUUAGGGUUUUAAGUCCCGUGUUUAAUGGUCCACUUAAAAGGAAUUAGGGCUUUACCCCGUUUCUUUUGUUCUGAUCGGGCAUCUGAAGCAAAGGUGAUACGAAUCGUUCAAGGAAGUCACGAGGGAAACAGAUGAACGGGAGAAACACGAAGGGAAUCAAGCAUUUGCCGCCGGUCGAUGAUUGAUCGUGAAGAAGGUAGAGCGCGCCGGCAGGCGAGAAGGAGGCACGAAGAUGGCUGCGAGGUCCGAUAGAUUUCGAUCGGUUGCAGGCUGAGGUUGCGUUUCCGAUGUUUCGGUCGAUCCGAAGGAAGAGAAGAGACGGCAGCAGAGGGUUCUCUCUUUCCCGUCCGGCUGCUAGAUGCGAGGAAAGAUGAGGUCCGAAGAGACGUAGGUAAGAGAAGCGAGCCGUGCUUUUCUCGUCCGACUGCGAGGUGUGAUGAGCGGCGUCGCAAACAGCGGUAGCAACAAGAGGAUACCCUUGAAGCUCUGUGGUUGACGGGAAUCGUAGAGAAGGAAAACGAAGGGAAAAGGCUCGAUCCUUGUCUGGCCGGUCCAAGAGAGAUGGAAACGAUCGCAGGUAUGCGAUUUGUUGAAGAAAAAGGGGUAACCGGAGGCAGUCAAGGUUUCGGUGGUGCUGGAUCGCUGGCACCGGUGAUGGAGUUCGGUACCAACUGAAGCUAUAAUGGUGAUCGGAAGUGAACCAGGUGGUGGUGGCUAGGAUUUUUCAACAACAGCAGCAGUCGUCGGUCAAGAGAAAGAGGUCGGGGGAUAAGAGGGGGCUGGCGCCUCCGGUGUUUGCUCCGGGGAAAUAUAGAGGGUAGAGGGAACAUUGAGUGGGUGAUAGAGGGGAGAGCUUCGGCAACAACAGUGGGGGCAGGUUGAAGAAAGAGUGCAGGUUAUAUUUUUAUGGGUUCCAGCUGGAUUUGUACAAUUGUGUUGGAGUGUUGUAUUGCCUAAUCCCUUUGAGUGUGUAAGUCAUCAAAACAAAAUGUAGAAGUAAUUUAUUUAUUUAUUUGUAUUUGGUGUGAAAUUUGGAAUUAUGAAUUUUUCCAUCUAUUAUGUGUAUAUUUUGUGUAUUUAGCUGUAUAUUUGAUCCAAUGGAUAUGUAUUGGUGUAUGUAUUCUUGAGAAAUUACAUAGGUUCAAUAAUUAUGUUUUUUGUGUAUGAAUUCAUGCAUUAUUUAAAAAAGGGAUAAU